CAUUCAGAGCAGAUUCAUAGGCGCGUGCUGCCAUGUAGUAGAGGCCUUGGGGUUGAUCAGCAGUGACUAGGACAUUGAAUGUCUGACCAGGUCCUAUCAUGAGGACUGUGGUUCUAAAGGGCUUUGUAUAUGCUGCAUCUGUACCAACCACUGUCAUGCUGUGGUUGGCAAUGGAGAAGAAAAGUUCUUGAUUGAGUGCACUGUUGAUGAUUCUCAACAUAAUUGUCUCCCCAGCUUCUACUGGAACACGCACAGUUCCUGCAUUGUGUGUUCGUUAAAUCAAUGAAUCUGGAACCUCUCUCAAAAUAGAACUGCUUUUUAAGGAAUGCAGGCACACACUGAGUAGUAAUUUUCACACCUUGGCUUGAGCAUCUGUAAAGAUCACCAGGUUGCCCAUUAGUGGUAUAUGCAACAGAUGUAUUUGGAGGUAAUCCUGCAAAGUCUGCCUGCCUUUGGAGAAGUACAAUAUCCGAAUCAAACCAUUGCCCUGUGGCAUCAACACGCGGAAGGAGAUUCAUUAUUCAAGUAAAUUGGGCAGAAGAUGAUUUUAGAGAUGUACCAAGAAGGAGGGGAAAUUCUUGCUUAGGCACAGAGAAGGGAUAGGCAGAACCCAAUCUGGGAUAGAUGAUGAAGGCUCCAUAAACAGUGGCUCUUAGGAAGCCAGUAUGAGCAUGCCACCAUAAUGUCCCUUCCUGAUCCCUGAUUCUAAAUCGGUAUGUGUAACUUCCCCCCGGUUGAAUGGGACACUGAGUUACAUAACUCGGCCCAUCUGCCCAUGGAUUUCGCAGCAUCCUUAACCCAUGCCUGAUGGACAUAACCCAUUAUCACUUUGUGAGGAAGAUCAAAUUUUGCAUCAGCAGUAAAUUGGUACAUGAACCAAUUAUGUAUCAAUAGCAUAGUAUAUCGACUUAUGGACCAACUAUUUAUUGUUAGAUUAGUGCGGGGAAAAGUUCUGACCGAAGAGUAUGAUAGUCAAGCAUGAGUUCCAUGUGAAAAUGAAAGAGAAAGAUGAUGCUAUGUACCAGUGGAUGGAGAUGUUGUAC